UCGAGCUGAACAACUGUCUUUGUGUCACUGCGACCUAACGGCCCUCACAUUGAACAUUUGUCACCACUUUGAGACGACAAUAAUCGUGGCAAUGAUCACUAGCUUCAAUUACGUUACUUCCACUGUCUAUUUUUUAAUCUACUUUCUGGCACGUUCUUACGAAGCCAAUUUGUUUGUUUUGUUCGGUAAUAACUUUGCUUUUCUUUCGUUCUACGUGUUUUGGCUUCUUCUAAUUCUGGAGAUGUUCACGAGGACCGAAAAAGAGGCCAAUAUAACCGGACGUUACAUACACGAUAUUUGGAAUAAGUUUGAAGCGAAUGGAAAUAUGACUAAAAAGCUGCGACAUCUUCAGCUAGUUUCGAUUCGUUUUCUGAACAAUAAACUGGAAUUUAGGGCAAGAAAUUUUUUUCGACUGGAUUGGAGUUUUUGCCACACUAUGAUAGCUGCCAUAACCACUUACGUUAUUAUAUUAGUUCAGUUUCAUAUCUAAUCUUUCUAUAGUACAACGGUUUUAAUAAAACAUUAAAUUAACAAUAAACUUUACAAAAAAUUCAAAAUUUACGUCUAUUAAUGUA